GUGAACGCUGGCGGUCGGCCUAACACAUGCAAGUCGAACGGCAGCACAGUAAGGGCUUGCUCUUACGGGUGGCGAGUGGCGGACGGGUGAGGAAUACAUCGGAAUCUACUUUUUCGUGGGGGAUAACGUAGGGAAACUUACGCUAAUACCGCAUACGACCUACGGGUGAAAGCAGGGGAUCUUCGGACCUUGCGCGAUUGAAUGAGCCGAUGUCGGAUUAGCUAGUUGGCGGGGUAAAGGCCCACCAAGGCGACGAUCCGUAGCUGGUCUGAGAGGAUGAUCAGCCACACUGGAACUGAGACACGGUCCAGACUCCUACGGGAGGCAGCAGUGGGGAAUAUUGGACAAUGGGCGCAAGCCUGAUCCAGCCAUACCGCGUGGGUGAAGAAGGCCUUCGGGUUGUAAAGCCCUUUUGUUGGGAAAGAAAAGCAGCAGGUUAAUACCCCGCUGUUCUGACGGUACCCAAAGAAUAAGCACCGGCUAACUUCGUG
rnacentral:rRNA from 1 species